UACGUAGGGUGCGAGCGUUAAUCGGAAUUACUGGGCGUAAAGCGUGCGCAGGCGGCUUUGCAAGACAGAUGUGAAAUCCCCGGGCUCAACCUGGGAACUGCAUUUGUGACUGUAUAGCUAGAGUACGGCAGAGGGGGAUGGAAUUCCGCGUGUAGCAGUGAAAUGCGUAGAUAUGCGGAGGAACACCAAUGGCGAAGGCAAUACCCUGGGCCUGUACUGACGCUCAUGCACGAAAGCGUGGGGAGCAAACAGG
rnacentral:rRNA from 1 species